rnacentral:rRNA from 1 species
GAUGAACGCUGGCGGCGUGCCUAAUACAUGCAAGUCGAGCGAACAGACGAGGAGCUUGCUCCUCUGACGUUAGCGGCGGACGGGUGAGUAACACGUGGAUAACCUACCUAUAAGACUGGGAUAACUUCGGGAAACCGGAGCUAAUACCGGAUAAUAUCUUGAACCGCAUGGUUCAAUAGUGAAAGACGGUUUUGCUGUCACUUAUAGAUGGAUCCGCGCGGCAUUAGCUAGUUGGUAAGGUAACGGCUUACCAAGGCAACGAUGCGUAGCCGACCUGAGAGGGUGAUCGGCCACACUGGAACUGAGCCACGGUCCAGACUCCUACGGGAGGCAGCAGUAGGGAAUCUUCCGCAAUGGGCGAAAGCUUGACGGAGCAACGCCGCGUGAGUGAUGAAGGUCUUCGGAUCGUAAAACUCUGUUAUUAGGGAAGAACAAAUGUGUAAGUAACUGUGCACGUCUUGACGGUACCUAAUCAGAAAGCCACGGCUAACUACGUG